GACGAACGCUGGCGGCGUGCUCAACACAUGCAAGUCGAACGCUGAAGCCUAGCUUGCUGGGUGGAUGAGUGGCGAACGGGUGAGUAACACGUGAGUAACCUGCCCCCUUCUUUGGGAUAACGCCCGGAAACGGGUGCUAAUACUGGAUAUUCACUGAUCUUCGCAUGGGGGUUGGUGGAAAGGUUUGUUCUGGUGGGGGAUGGGCUCGCGGCCUAUCAGCUUGUUGGUGGGGUGAUGGCCUACCAAGGCUUUGACGGGUAGCCGGCCUGAGAGGGUGACCGGUCACAUUGGGACUGAGAUACGGCCCAGACUCCUACGGGAGGCAGCAGUGGGGAAUAUUGCACAAUGGGCGAAAGCCUGAUGCAGCGACGCCGCGUGAGGGAUGGAGGCCUUCGGGUUGUAAACCUCUUUCGCUCAUGGUCAAGCCGCAACAGUGGUUGUGGUGAGGGUAGUGGGUAAAGAAGCGCCGGCUAACUACGUGCCAGCAGCCGCGGUAAUACGUAGGGCGCGAGCGUUGUCCGGAAUUAUUGGGCGUAAAGGGCUUGUAGGCGGUUGGUCGCGUCUGCCGUGAAAUCCUCUGGCUUAACUGGGGGCGUGCGGUGGGUACGGGCUGACUUGAGUGCGGUAGGGGAGACUGGAACUCCUGGUGUAGCGGUGGAAUGCGCAGAUAUCAGGAAGAACACCGGUGGCGAAGGCGGGUCUCUGGGCCGUUACUGACGCUGAGGAGCGAAAGCGUGGGGAGCGAACAGG
rnacentral:rRNA from 1 species